AUGUAUGUGGUAGCGCAAUUUAGAGACUGGGAAACUUGCACCGAUCCCGGAUGGAUACUCACCACAUAGUAAGCAUAGGGUGGGUGAAAGUAUCAGCUGAGAAAACCUUGGAAUAAUUGUGUGCAUAUCGCGACACACAGUAGACAAGUCAACUGAGACUGAGAGUUCCACACCGGUUUCGAGUGCACCUGAAGAUGACAACUUGUCCUUGGUACAAACCGUCUUCGGAAAACGACUUGGCCACCAAAAAGGAUACGGUCGUAUCCUUACCAUAAGGGACCAAGCUCCAUUUACUACUAAUCCUCAACUACAAUCUAGAGUUGAAGAGAUUGUUGAGAUGAGAGAGCGUCUUCGAAAAUAAGAGGAGCACAUACCGACUCGUUGUAUCACCCCAAUGUGCCCCACCACCACCUGAUGAUCCCUAUGUUGGAGGACCGAGUCAGAAGGAGGACUUAUGUAUGAGUUUUGUUUUUAUAGACUAUUAUAUUUUCAUCUUUAGGACAACUCUUUAUUUGGAUUGAGCAGA